rnacentral:rRNA from 1 species
ACUCCUACGGGAGGCAGCAGUGGGGAAUAUUGCGCAAUGGGCGAAAGCCUGACGCAGCGACGCCGCGUGAGGGACGAAGGCCUUCGGGUUGUAAACCUCUUUCAGCAGGGACGAAGCGAAAGUGACGGUACCUGCAGAAGAAGCACCGGCCAACUACGUGCCAGCAGCCGCGGUAAUACGUAGGGUGCAAGCGUUGUCCGGAAUUAUUGGGCGUAAAGAGCUCGUAGGCGGUUUGUCACGUCGGAUGUGAAACCUCGGGGCUCAACCCCGAGCCUGCAUACGAUACGGGCAGACUUGAGUACGGCAGGGGAGACUGGAAUUCCUGGUGUAGCGGUGAAAUGCGUAGAGAUC